rnacentral:RNase_P_RNA from 1 species
UGAGUCGGCCGGGUGGCCGCGGCGCCCGACCCGUGAGGGAAGGACGUCGAGGAAGGUCGGGACUCCACCGAGCACGAUGCUGGCGCGAGCCAGGUGGGAGCGAUCUCACGGAUCGGGCAACAGAGAACAGACCGCCGAUGGCCGGCGACGGCACAGGCAAGGGUGAAACGGUGCGGUAAGAGCGCACCAGCGGUCGGGGCGACCCGGCCGGCUCGGCAACCCCCAUCGGGAGCAAGGUCGAAACGAGGGCAGGGCUGCUCGUCCGCCCCUCCCCGGAGGGACCCUCAGGUGGACCGCACAGAUGGAUGGUCGCCCAUCGGGACCCCGGCAACGGGCCCGAGGACAGAAUCCCGCCUACAGGCCGACUCAUCGU